AUAUACGGUCACACUUGUAUAAUAUCGUUCUCUUCUACUUCUGAUUUCUGAGCUGUGUGGACGUAUUGAGAAAGAAUUAUAUUUUUUAUAUUAUUGACGACAACCGCAGUGCUAAUAAAAUACAAAAUACGAAUAAAUACAAACAUAAAAGGAAACCUUACAUUCUGUUUAAUAUAUGUAUAUACUACUGGAAGGCUGAAACCAAAGGAUGCACAAGAUAUACACGGAUUAAAUAUUCAACUCACGUUUUGUUUACUGCAAAUUAUUUCAACAGAGACCAAUAAAAAAAAAGGAAUGCGAUAUAUGUCCAUUAUACAAGACGGUUGCUGACCAAAAAAAAAUGUGCCGACCUGAUGAUUUUUCAGUAAUUGAUAAAAUAGCUGAAGUAACGCUGCAGAGUCUUCUAGCUCACACAGCAACUCGGCUCGUUCAUUUGCAAGUUGACAUCGUCGAGAACAUUAUGAAAGAUCAAGAAACUGGAAUAACGUAUCGAAGUUUAAAAUAUAUCUCAGCUGAUGAUAUUCGUGAUGCUCUCCCCAAUAUUGGUUUAAGGGCUGAAUUUAGAGUGAAAUUAUUCGCUUGGAAAAAGAAAGAGUUUAAUUUUGACGACGAAACAUUGUCCGCUAAUUCAAAAGUUUUAUCUUGGAUUCAAAAAAGUUCUCCUUCGAACUAGUUUUCUGCUGGUUUAAUGAUUGGAAUGUAGUCGUUGAAAAAUGGUCACAAACAUUUGAUUUGCGUCGUAAGAACUUACAGAAUUUGGACACUACAGAAUUUCUAAAACAAUGUCCAAAAUAUUCAGAAAGCUAAGCUCCAGAUUUGGUUUCAAGUAGACUUUGACCUCUUAUAUCCAGAAAAGGGACUGCACUUCGAAGCCAAGCAUAAAUCCAGCACGAUCAUUGUAAUGACAAAAUUGAUACAAAUCGAAUUCUAAUCUACUCUUUAAUAUUGCAGAAUUUACAACAUAUCCGAUGCAUUUAUAUACUCAAAGCAACUCUAAAAACUAUUUAAUUUAUAACAUGUAUAAAUUUUAAGAUUCUCAUGUACAUAUAUGUAAUAAAUAAUUAAACAAAUAU